GUGGGUAUAGCUUAGUAGUAGAGCAUGUGCUUAGCAUGCACAGGGUCCUGGGUUCAAUCCCCAGUACCUCCA
rnacentral:tRNA from 1 species